UACGGAGGGUGCGAGCGUUGUCCGGAAUCACUGGGCGUAAAGGGCGCGUAGGCGGCUCGCUAAGUUGCGGGUGAAAUCCCGGGGCUCAACUCCGGGGCUGCCCGUAAGACUGGCGGACUAGAGCACGGUAGAGGCAGAUGGAAUUCCCGGUGUAGCGGUGGAAUGCGUAGAGAUCGGGAAGAACACCAGUGGCGAAGGCGGUCUGCUGGGCCGUUGCUGACGCUGAGGCGCGACAGCGUGGGGAGCAAACAGG
rnacentral:misc_RNA from 1 species